GAGUUUAUUAAGGAUAUUAGAGAACGCUGCUGCAGCAGUCGGGUCUGGAUGUCAUGAAAGUAUGGAUCAAAGGUUCAUAUGUAGAGCACUGUUGUUAAAUACAAGGCUGGAUCUCAGUUACAGGCUGCAGUAGAAGCCACUCUGCUGUGACUCUGGGUGACUGGAGUGACCCGCUGUAUCCCGGCGUUGAAACACAGACCAGAUUCCAACAGCUUUUACAGGGCAGAGACAAACUCAGGAAAAAAUAUCUAGAGGUGCCAGAAUCUGAUCAGACAUACAGCAAUAGAGAAAAGGUCAAUCCUGACAUCCACCCAGAUGGUGCAGAAUGCACGGUUCAGCUAAUGAAGCCAGGUCAGAGUGUUGCCACUCGGCUGUUGGGGGUGAUAGCAGC